AUGAUAUAUCACCAGCUAAAUAUUGCGAUAUACUGCUGUAUCACGACUGAAAUAACGAUGGAACUACCGUAUUUUUCGCACUAUAGGACGCACUUUUUCCCCUCCAAAAAUGAAGGGGAAAUGUAUGUGCGUCCUAUGGUGCGAAUGCAGGCUUUUGCUGAAGCCUGGAGAGCGAGAGGGGUCCGUGCGCACCGACCCCUCUCGCUCUCCAGGCUUCAGGAAGCUAUCCCAAGUCUUGCAAGCCCGGCGGGAUGUCCCGCGGGCUCGCAAGGCUUGCGGGCAGCAGCCUGCACCCAAAAGCUGGGGACAGCGGGGAGGCGCAGAGCCGCCACCCCGCUAUUCCCCGACCUGAUCUGGAGGCUGGCGGGGGGAGAAGCAAGCCUGCUUCUCCCCCCCCCAGCCCCACAAGCUCGGGGGAUAGGGGGAUGGCGAAGCGCCGCCAUCCCGCUAUUCCCCGACCUGAUCUGGAGGCUGGGGGUGGGAGAAGCAAGCCUGCUUCUCCCCCCCACCAUCCCCACAACCUCCAGAUCAGGUCGUGGAAUAGCGGGAUGGCGGCGCUCCGCCAUCCCGCUAUUCCCCGACCUGAUCUGGAGGCUGGGGGUGGGAGAAGCAAGCCUGCUUCUCCCCCCCCCCAGCCCCACAACCUCCAGAUCAGGUCGGGAAAUAGCGGGAUGGCGGCGCUCCGCCAUCCCGCUAUUCCCCGACCUGAUCUGGAGGCUGGGGGUGGGAGAAGCAAGCCUGCUUCUCCCCCCCACCAGCCCCACAACCUCCAGGCUUCAGGAGAGCCCCACCGCCAGCCCCACAAGCUCGGGGGACAGCGGGAGAGGCGCAGCGCGCCCUUCCCGCUGUCCCCCGACUUGGCUAGAAGGCUGGCGGGGGGAGAAGCCUGCUCCUCCCCGUUGCCAGCCCCGCAAACUCGGGGGACAGCGGGAGAGGCGCAGCGCGCCUUUCCCGCUGCCCCCCGACUUGUCUAGAAGGCUGGCGGGGGGAGAAGCCUGCUCCUCCCCGUCGCCAGCCCCGCAAACUCGGGGGACAGCGGGAGAGGCGCAGCGCGCCUUUGCCGCUGUCCCCCGACUUGUCUAG
rnacentral:lncRNA from 1 species